ACUGCGUACCUUUUGUAUAAUGGGUCAGCGACUUAUAUUCUGUAGCAAGGUUAACCGAAUAGGGGAGCCGAAGGGAAACCGAGUCUUAACUGGGCGUUAAGUUGCAGGGUAUAGACCCGAAACCCGGUGAUCUAGCCAUGGGCAGGUUGAAGGUUGGGUAACACUAACUGGAGGACCGAACCGACUAAUGUUGAAAAAUUAGCGGAUGACUUGUGGCUGGGGGUGAAAGGCCAAUCAAACCGGGAGAUAGCUGGUUCUCCCCGAAAGCUAUUUAGGUAGCGCCUCGUGAAUUCAUCUCCGGGGGUAGAGCACUGUUUCGGCAAGGGGGUCAUCCCGACUUACCAACCCGAUGCAAACUGCGAAUACCGGAGAAUGUUAUCACGGGAGACACACGGCGGGUGCUAACGUCCGUCGUGAAGAGGGAAACAACCCAGACCGCCAGCUAAGGUCCCAAAGUCAUGGUUAAGUGGGAAACGAUGUGGGAAGGCCCAGACAGCCAGGAUGUUGGCUUAGAAGCAGCCAUCAUUUAAAGAAAGCGUAAUAGCUCACUGGUCGAGUCGGCCUGCGCGGAAGAUGUAACGGGGCUAAACCAUGCACCGAAGCUGCGGCAGCGACACUAUGUGUUGUUGGGUA
rnacentral:rRNA from 1 species